GGGUUUGCCUUGAGAGGCGGUGUUGGUGGUGGCAUUUUUUGGCUCAGAUUUGGCAUUAGAAGUGGAAGAGCUUUCUUCUUUCUUUGGAUAAUUCGACCUCCAAGGUGCUGAACUAAAAGUUUGUGUGAUUGGUUUUGGCCGUGUACCACCCUUCUUGAGUUGCCUCUCCACCUUGAUUGCCAUAUGCACCAAAUCUUCCAAUUCCACAUAAUGGUGUAUCUCGAUCGUGUUAGCAAUCUCUCUGUUUAAACCAUUCAAAAAUCUAGUCAUUGUCGC
rnacentral:lncRNA from 1 species